rnacentral:rRNA from 1 species
UACGGUGGGGGCAAGCGUUGUUCGGAAUUACUGGGCGUAAAGGGCUCGUAGGCGGCCAACUAAGUCAGACGUGAAAUCCCUCGGCUUAACCGGGGAACUGCGUCUGAUACUGGAUGGCUUGAAUCCGGGAGAGGGAUGCGGAAUUCCAGGUGUAGCGGUGAAAUGCGUAGAUAUCUGGAGGAACACCGGUGGCGAAGGCGACAUCCUGGACCGGUAUUGACGCUGAGUGAGCGAAAGCCAGGGGAGCAAACGGG